rnacentral:rRNA from 1 species
CCUACGGGAGGCUGCAGUCGAGAAUUUUUCACAAUGGGCGAAAGCCUGAUGGAGCGACGCCGCGUGGGGGAUGAAGGGCUUCGGCUCGUAAACCCCUGUCAUUCGAGAACAAACCCUGUAACCUAAUACGUUACGGGCUGAUAGUAUCGGAAGAGGAAGGGACGGCUAACUCUGUGCCAGCAGCCGCGGUAAUACAGAGGUCCCAAGCGUUGUUCGGAUUUACUGGGCGUAAAGGGUGCGUAGGCGGCGGGGAAAGUUCGGGGUGAAAUCUCCAG